rnacentral:tRNA from 1 species
UAUGAUGUAGUAUAAAUCUGUAAAUUACAUAGAACCUAAGAUUCUGUAAUGGGACACACCCAUCAUAA